AACUAUACAACUACCAUAAAAAUCUAAAAUCACACGUGAUAAAAAAAAUGCGAGUAAACACUAAUGUUUCUGUUAAGUGAUGAGAAACGGGCUUGGAACAAAGGAACAAGCUUAAUCUUGCAGUGGUUUAAGGAUUUAAAGUUUACCUUUUGUGGAAUUGUGGAUAGCUUCUUGUGUGGUCCUUGUCCUGGCUCAUGAAAUCCUGAUUGUUGUUUUCAGGUGUUAAGUGUAUUUUGUUUAUUUUUAGGUACUAUGAAGAAGUAUUUAAUGACGUCUGAUAGGUUGUACAGAAGCUUUAAGCCCUUCAUGGAAAUGCUGUCAGAAUUAGAAGAAUGCUUGGGACACACAAGUGGAUGUUCCUGAAAGCUAUUAUGGUAUGUAUCAACCAACAGCUUUAAGAAUGUGCAAGUGAAAUGUCCUGAUGAGAGAUUUCCUGGUGACUGCAAUGUAGCAGAUAGAGGAAAAUUGCAAAUAACAUGGGAACAAAUACUUCUAAUUCUUCAGUGAUGAGUUGGAACAUGUUGUCAGUGCUACCUGACAAGUUUGGAUGGUCUGUAACUGGAAGGAAGUAUAACACCUGAAGACAUUUUUUGCUGCUUGAAGUGGGACACCAUGUUUUUAAAAUCUGCCAAAAUAGUUGAUGUCAUACUGCUUAGCAGAUACUGCUUUCAGAAAUUACAUGUGAACCAAAUCACUGUGUCUACAUACUUAAAAUAGCACCUCCUCUGAAACU